AAACUUAAGGAAUUGACGGGACCCGCACAAGCAGCGGAGCGUGUGGUUUUAAUUCGUUGCUACACGAAGAACCUUACCUGGGUUUGACAUAUAGGUUGUAGGGAACUGAAAAGGGACCGACCCUUCGGGGAGCCUAUACAGGUGUUGCAUGGCUGUCGUCAGCUCGUGUCGUGAGAUGUUCGGUUAAGUCCGCUAACGAGCGCAACCCUCGUCGUAUGUUAUAUGUGUCAUACGAGACUGCCGGUAAAAGCCGGAGGAAGGUGAGGAUGAUGUCAAGUCAGCAUGACCUUUAUAUCCAGGGCUACACACACGCUACAAUGGUCUGUACAAUGGGUAGCCAAGCCGCGAGGCGGAGCCAAUCCUGAAAGCAGGCCUCAGUUCAGAUUGCAGUCUGCAACUCGACUGCAUGAAGCCGGAGUUGCUAGUAACCGCAGGUCAGCAAUACUGCGGUGAAUACGUUCCCGGGUCUU
rnacentral:rRNA from 1 species